rnacentral:pre_miRNA from 1 species
CGGGAUAAACUUAACAACGUGUACAGUAAACAUUUUGUUCACUUGUUUAUGGUUUACUGUACACGUUGUUAAGUUUAUCCCG